GAUCUAAUGCUGUUCAACUGAGUGGGGAACCCAGCGAGGCCUGUCUGUCCAGAUUCUUCUCAGCCUGUCUCUUUGCAGCAUUCCUUCAUUCCUUAUAUGAGGCAGGACCCUCUCUGGAUGAGGGUCUUCUGACCUACAAUCAGACAAGAGCCCUAGAUGAAUAUAGCAGCCACAUAGGAAGGGGAAACAACAAGCUUUCACGGAAAGAAGAUCAAGGAGCGAGAUGCCAAUGCUGAAACGAUCACGCCAUCUUAGCUCUGAAACUGACUGCUCGGUGAGGCAGAGUCUGCUGAGAAUGUCAGAGUCACUCUUCGCCUCUAGAAUGAGUCUAAUUCCAGACAAAGGUUCAUAAUUUCCGUAUAUAUUCCACCUGGCUGGUCAGAUGGAAUUAAAAUGACAAAAGCCCUUCAAUGA